rnacentral:rRNA from 1 species
AUUGAACGCUGGCGGCAUGGCUAAAACAUGCAAGUCGAACGAGAAUCCGGGGGGCCGCAAGGCGGAGGACAGUGGCGGAAGGGUCAGUAAUGGGAUCGAAUGUACCCCGAGGUGGAGGAUAGCGUCGGGAAACUGACGGUAAUACUCCAUGUCCUCUACGGAGAAAAGAUUUAUCGCCUUGGGAGCAGCGAUCCUCCUAUCGAGGUAGGUUGGCGGGGUAAAAGCCCACCAAGCCGAAGGACGGGUAGCGGGUGUGAGAGCACGGCCGCGACAUCGAGACUGAGACACUGCUCGGACUCCUACGGGAGGCUGCAGUAACGAAUAUUCCGCAA